rnacentral:snRNA from 1 species
AUAUUCUGCUUCUCUUCCUAUCAUAUAAAUCUUUCACCUUUUACUAAAAGUUUCUGUGGAGAAGAAUAAUUCUGAGU